rnacentral:rRNA from 1 species
GAUGAAUGCUGGCGGCAGGCCUAACACAUGCAAGUCGAGCGGUAACGCGGGGCAACCUGGCGACGAGCGGCGGACGGGUGAGUAACGCGUAGGAAUCUACCUAGUAGUGGGGGAUAGCCCGGGGAAACUCGGAUUAAUACCGCAUACGCCUUAAGGGGGAAAGCAGGGGAUCUUCGGACCUUGUGCUACUAGAAGAGCCU